AAAUAUAAAUUAGAUACACAAUAAUAUACUAUGUUUCUUUAACAGAAAUAGCAGUUUAGGGAGUGCUCAAAAAAAUCAGAAAGCAGGAGAAGGGAAUGAAAGAAGCUUCUAGGAAUGAUUAGAUUAUAGCACUCAAUGGAAAGAGGUAAUAAAAUUAUUACUCAAAUAUCCUACUUUGGCAGGAGAUGGGGUGUUUUGUGAAUUUUUUUUAGAGGGUUAUUCAUUUUUAAAUGUUCAAAUACAAAAGCUUUAAUUUCUCUUGGCAAUUCAUCUUUGUUCUAGGAAAGGCGUUAGCAACUUGGAUAUUGACAGAGAUGGCAUGUUCAUCAAAUCUACAGAUCAUUCAAUCCACAAGAAUUUAAGUGCCUAUUAUUCAUUAAAUGCCAGGCACUGUGAUAGGCACUAGGAAUACAAAGCGAAAUGACUCAGUCAGUAAGAAGAAGAGGAAAAACUCUCGAUGACAAAACCAGGAUUUUAUAAGCAUGUCACCUCAACCCAGGUCAUUCUGACCCAUGACCACCAGGAGGUCCAUAUUGAAGACUGAACUUCUUAAAGGCCAGCAAACUUGGCAUGCACUGGAUAAAGAGGAAAAAACAAAUUCCAGAGGCCUUUCUAAAGUGCUCCACACUCAAACAAAGCCCAUUGUUGCUGAUUGAAAGCCUGGAUUCCCUUUAAGAGGACACCUGCGUUACAGGACCAGUGAUUAGGAUUCCUGUAUCAAAUGCUUGAAGGGUCAACAAAGUUUAGGCAAGAAGUCAUUCCAGAACUGGGGAGAUUAUGGAGGUGAGGAAACUUAAGUUCAAAAGGGGUUGAAAUGGCAGAUCCAGAACACAGACCCAGGUCAUUUGUGACUCUUGAGUCCAGUGUACUCUUCACUACCCCCAGAGAAUCUUCACAGGAAGUCAGAUUUACUGUGGGAUUCCACUAUGUGCUGCCUGUCCCAGCCCUUCCCGUUUGCAUGAAGUUUCAAAACCCUCUCCUGAAAAGCUUAUUCCCUAGCUGUUUUGCUACCACAGAAGCCCCGGAGAGGAAAAGGGAGGCCCAGAGAACUCCUCCACGUAUUUCCUGGAGUCGGGAGGAAGGGAGAUUAGAUCCUCCAGCAGAGAAGGAGACAUGUGCCUUGUUGUGCCUUGUCUAUGACACACUGUAGUCAACUUGAACUUUGAUACUGAGCUUCUUAACUGGAACAACAUGAUAACCAGCUAAUACUAGGACAAGUUGACACUGCCAUCAAGACACUGCCUAAAGCAAUGGAAUGCUGGAUUUCUGGUCAGAAUACUUGGGUUCAAAACUGUCCCUGCCACUUACUAUCUAUGUGAACUUUGACAAGCCACUUUUCCCUGGGACUCAGUUUCUUCAUUUACAAAAGGAGCGGAUUGGACCAAGUAACCUCUAAAGUCCUUUCCAGCUCUAAAUCUAUGAUCCAUCCUGCUAUUAUAGGGAUUAAAAAGACCAUUAAUGUUUACCUCGUGGGUUUUUUCUGUAUCAUUUGUUGUUCAGUUGAGUCCAAUUCUUUGUG